CCAUUGUUUGAACACUGCGAUUGACUGAAAGUCUGCAACCCGAAAUUGAAAAUGUUUACCUGCAAAUUUGAGCUUGAGAUUGAGAUUUGGAAGCCGAAGCAAGCACAAGUCAUGGGAACCCUAAAUACAAAAUUUGCUGACUUGGGGAUUAUUUUCUGUCUUAUGGCUGGAACUUUUGGUUUUGGCCAUGACUGGCUGGGUGAAGGAGCUUUUGAGGAAUUAUUGUAACAAAAAUUUCAGAAACUGAGGUUUAUUGAGUUGAUGGAUUGUUGUUUUUCUGGGGCUGAUGAGAACACUCAGACUAAUGGAGGAAAUGAACUUAUUUUUCCAGUUUAUCCAGUCCUUCCAUGCAGAGAUACAAUGCAGCGCUCAAGAACAAAUUCCUGUGAUCUUCUUGCCCAGCUUCCUUCUUCUCUGUCCUUAGACUAUGGGAUUUAUGCACAUCCAUUAAUAUCAAACCAGCCCAUUUGGUUGAACUCCUCUUCUAACAGAGAUUCAAGUGCCAUGGCAGUGAGCUCAAGUUCCCAUUUUUCCUAGCUAGUUCCAAAAGAAAGUCCUUUUCUGAACAUAUAAUUACUUACAUUUUGCUGGAAAGAGGUGGGACCAGAGUUUUGGUUCCAAGUGCAGAGGGUUGAUUGAGCUGUUUGUCUACAAAGAUGUCUCUGGUGACCAACAAUUGAUUGAUUAUAUCACAGCCCAAUGCAACAUUUCACUGGAGCAAGACACCCUGCUUGGUGUUGGCUGCAAUACAAGCUUCCCUGUCAACAUAAAUGACAUGAGCACUGAAAUACAACCACAGCCCUUUCCAGGCAAUGAGAAUGAAGGAAAUGAUCAUCUGAACAGUAAUCAUUUCCAGCAGUCGCCUGUUGUUUCCCCAGUGGAUCAUGAUUCCAAUGUGCCAUACGACAUAUCAGUUGAUCGAAUCCUUCUCUGCCGCACUUCUCCAAUGAAUGUCCUGCAAAAUGUCACUUACAACUCAGAGAACAGCAUGAAGAAUGUCCUUGUUUUUGUGAGAAUUGAUAAUGCCCUUGUAUUUGAUAGAGGUCAUGUGUUGAUCGCUGAACAAGAAUGAUCGUCAAAAAUUUCGUCUUUUCUAUAUGGUUUUGAAUGUAUAGUUGAUGUCUUGUAUGAUUCUUAAUUGUAAAUAAAGGAUGGGAUUCAUUGCUUAGUACCAACAAUUGCUGUCAAUAAUGAAGCAAAAACAUGCAGAACAUGGUAUUUUUU